rnacentral:tRNA from 1 species
GCCGGCGUGGUGGAACGGUAGACACGCCAGCCUUAGGAGCUGGUGGCCGCAAGGCCGUGGGGGUUCAAGUCCUCCCGCCGGCA